UACGUAGGGUGCGAGCGUUAAUCGGAUUUACUGGGCGUAAAGCGUGCGCAGGCGGCUCGUUAAGACAGGUGUGAAAUCCCUGGGCUCAACCUAGGAAUUGCGCUUGUGACUGGCGGGCUGGAGUACGGUAGAGGGGGGUGGAAUUCCUGGUGUAGCAGUGAAAUGCGUAGAGAUCAGGAGGAACACCGAUGGCGAAGGCAGCCCCCUGGGCCUGUACUGACGCUCAUGCACGAAAGCGUGGGGAGCAAACAGG
rnacentral:rRNA from 1 species